UGGUCCCUCCUUCAGCCCAGUCCUAUCCCCUUCCAGAGGCUCACUUUCACUUUCCUAGGGACAGCUGGCGGGACCCACAAUGCCCUCCUUCCACCUGGGUUUUGGGUGAGAGUCCGGUUGCCUCUGAGGACAGGGAUUUAUGGGUCUAGAGGAUUGUUCCCAAGCCGGGAAAUUUGAGCUUCCUUCCCAUCACCUCCAAAGUCACCUUAGGGCAGAGCCUGCAAGGAUCGGGUUAGCUGAGCAGCAUCUGGUGCUGCUGGUGGCUGGCUUCCAGCCUAGGCUCCAGGUCUGGGUCCAGGGCCCCUCCCUGCCUCCUCCCUGCCACUCCCUGGGUCCCUGCUCAGCUCCGAUUGCUCUGGCUCUGGAGGAACCCCAGGCACCUUGCUGCAGCCUUUGCUGGUGUCAGUUACACCCCCACCUCCACCCCUAGGACUGGCUCACGUGGCCCAAAGGCCACCCUUAGAUAAAAGGGACACUAAAACUGGAGAGGGUCAUGAAGGAACCCGAGGAAAUCACGGCAAGGGGAUGGGGGAGGGGUGAACGGAGCAGCACAAGUUCAGUGACAGGGCGCAACCCAACCUCCUCUUAGAACAAAUCAAGGAAGUAUUGCCCAGUAAGCCUUCCGGGGACAGGCCUGCUCCCGGCAGAACUGCGAGCAGAAGGGAAAUGAAAUUCCCCAGGACCGCUGUGAAAGACAAUUAAGCCACUGCCUGACCAAAGAAGGGAGGCUAAGAUUCACGCCAACAGCCAUUCACGCCAACACUGCAACCCGUCCACACUGAGUGCCCCACAGCAAGAUGGGGGACCAGGGGAGGAGAGAAACAAAGGCUUUGAUCUGUAAGCACCCGGGACUCCCUGGGGGAGCGCUGGGAGGAGCUGGAGAAGACAAGGGGAAGAGAGGAGGUAGGCUGGGACUUGGGGUAUUCUGGGGUCUGGAGAUGUGCAUCCAUUCCAGACCCUUGUUCUGGGGACCCUGGACACCUGAAGCAGCAAAAGCCAGCACUCAGGAGGUUCAGGGCCAAUAAGAUGCCCCGUAGGCUACGAAAAGUCCUCCAGCAGUGACAGAUAAGCCCUCCUACCUGCUCUUGGCUGCCCAGGGGCUGAUGGGGUAUGAGGGCUGAGCUGGGUCAGGCCAGCAUUCACGAGGGCUGAACCACCAGCAGGUCUGGGAUGGGAAUGCUCCCGGCAGAGGACCACGUGAGUACAAAGGCCCAGAGAUCAUCUAAGCCUGGAAGGUUUGAGGAGCCACAGGAAGACCAGUGAGGCUGAAGCAGGGGAUGCCUUCCCAGACGCAGACUCCAAUGCAGACAGCGAGCUGGAUGAGGCAGUGG